AGCGAACGCUGGCGGCAGGCCUAACACAUGCAAGUCGAACGAAGUCUUCGGACUUAGUGGCGGACGGGUGAGUAACACGUGGGAACGUGCCUUUAGGUUCGGAAUAACUCAGGGAAACUUGUGCUAAUACCGAAUGUGCCCUUCGGGGGAAAGAUUUAUCGCCUUUAGAGCGGCCCGCGUCUGAUUAGCUAGUUGGUGAGGUAAAGGCUCACCAAGGCGACGAUCAGUAGCUGGUCUGAGAGGAUGAUCAGCCACAUUGGGACUGAGACACGGCCCAAACUCCUACGGGGGGCAGCAGUGGGGAAUUUUGCGCAAUGGGCGAAAGCCUGACGCAGCCAUGCCGCGUGAAUGAUGAAGGUCUUAGGAUUGUAAAAUUCUUUCACCGGGGACGAUAAUGACGGUACCCGGAGAAGAAGCCCCGGCUAACUUCGUGCCAGCCGCCGCAGUAAUAC
rnacentral:rRNA from 1 species